CCGGCACGGGUGAGUAACACGUAUCCAACCUGCCGUCUACUCUUGGACAGCCUUCUGAAAGGAAGAUUAAUACAAGAUGGCAUCAUGAGUCCGCAUGUCCACAUGAUUAAAGGUAUUCCGGUAGACGAUGGGGAUGCGUUCCAUUAGAUAGUAGGCGGGGUAACGGCCCACCUAGUCUUCGACGGAUAGGGGUUCUGAGAGGAAGGUCCCCCACAUUGGAACUGAGACACGGUCCAA
rnacentral:rRNA from 1 species